GAUGAAGAACGUAGCGAAAUGCGAUAAGUAAUGUGAAUUGCACAAUUCAGUGAAUCAUCGAAUCUUUGAACGCACCUUGCGCCCUUUGGCUAUUCCGAAGGGCAUGCCUGUUUGAGUAUCAUGAACACCUCAACUCUCAUGGCUUGCUGUGAUGAGCUUGGAAUUUGGGGGUCUUGUUGGCUUGUGAGCCAGCUCCUCCUAAAUGAAUUAGCUUGCCGGUGUUUGGUGGCAUCACAGGUGUGAUAACUAUCUACUCUUGUGGUUUCCCAUCAGGUAACCUCCAGUGAUGGAGGUUCGCUGGGGCUCAUAAAUGUCUCUCCUCAGUGAGGACAGAUUUUGACUGUUUGAUCUCAAAUCAGGUAGGACUACCCGCUGAACUUAAGCAUAUCAAUAAGCGGAGGA
rnacentral:misc_RNA from 1 species